UACGUAGGUUGCAAGCGUUGUCCGGAUUUAUUGGGUUUAAAGGGUGCGUAGGCGGUUUUGUAAGUCAGUGGUGAAAUAUGUCAGCUUAACUGAGAGGGUGCCAUUGAUACUGCAGAACUUGAGUACAGAUGAGGUAGGCGGAAUUGACGGUGUAGCGGUGAAAUGCUUAGAUAUCGUCAAGAACACCUAUAGCGAAGGCAGCUUACUAGGCUUUAACUGACGCUGAGGCACGAAAGUGUGGGGAUCGAACAGG
rnacentral:rRNA from 1 species